rnacentral:rRNA from 1 species
CAGGCUUAACACAUGCAAGUCGAGGGGCAUCAGGAAGAAAGCUUGCUUUCUUUGCUGGCGACCGGCGCACGGGUGAGUAACACGUAUCCAACCUGCCCUUUACUCGGGGAUAGCCUUUCGAAAGAAAGAUUAAUACCCGAUGGCAUAAUGAUUCCGCAUGGUUUCAUUAUUAAAGGAUUCCGGUAAAGGAUGGGGAUGCGUUCCAUUAGGUUGUUGGUGAGGUAACGGCUCACCAAGCCUUCGAUGGAUAGGGGUUCUGAGAGGAAGGUCCCCCACAUUGGAACUGAGACACGGUCCAAACUCCUACGGGAGGCAGCAGUGAGGAAUAUUGGUCAAUGGGCGCUAGCCUGAACCAGCCAAGUAGCGUGAAGGAUGAAGGCUCUAUGGGUCGUAAACUUCUUUUAUAUAAGAAUAAAGUGCAGUAUGUAUACUGUUUUGUAUGUAUUAUAUGAAUAAGGAUCGGCUAACUCCGUGCCAGCAGCCGCGGUAAUACGGAGGAUCCGAGCGUUAUCCGGAUUUAUUGGGUUUAAAGGGAGCGUAGGUGGACUGGUAAGUCAGUUGUGAAAGUUUGCGGCUCAACCGUAAAAUUGCAGUUGAUACUGUCAGUCUUGAGUACAGUAGAGGUGGGCGGAAUUCGUGGUGUAGCGGUGAAAUGCUUAGAUAUCACGAAGAACUCCGAUUGCGAAGGCAGCUCACUGGACUGCAACUGACACUGAUGCUCGAAAGUGUGGGUAUCAAACAGGAUUAGAUACCCUGGUAGUCCACACAGUAAACGAUGAAUACUCGCUGUUUGCGAUAUACAGUAAGCGGCCAAGCGAAAGCAUUAAGUAUUCCACCUGGGGAGUACGCCGGCAACGGUGAAACUCAAAGGAAUUGACGGGGGCCCGCACAAGCGGAGGAACAUGUGGUUUAAUUCGAUGAUACGCGAGGAACCUUACCCGGGCUUAAAUUGCAGUGGAAUGAUGUGGAAACAUGUCAGUGAGCAAUCACCGCUGUGAAGGUGCUGCAUGGUUGUCGUCAGCUCGUGCCGUGAGGUGUCGGCUUAAGUGCCAUAACGAGCGCAACCCUUAUCUUUAGUUACUAACAGGUUAUGCUGAGGACUCUAGAGAGACUGCCGUCGUAAGAUGUGAGGAAGGUGGGGAUGACGUCAAAUCAGCACGGCCCUUACGUCCGGGGCUACACACGUGUUACAAUGGGGGGUACAGAAGGCAGCUAGCGGGUGACCGUAUGCUAAUCCCAAAAGCCUCUCUCAGUUCGGAUCGAAGUCUGCAACCCGACUUCGUGAAGCUGGAUUCGCUAGUAAUCGCGCAUCAGCCACGGCGCGGUGAAUACGUUCCCGGGCCUUGUACACACCGCCCGUCAAGCCAUGGGAGCCGGGGGUACCUGAAGUACGUAACCGCAAGGAUCGUCCUAGGGUAAAACUGGUGACUGGGGCUAAGUCA